rnacentral:rRNA from 1 species
UACGUAGGGUGCGAGCGUUGUCCGGAAUUAUUGGGCGUAAAGAGCUCGUAGGCGGCUUGUCACGUCGGAUGUGAAAGCCCGGGGCUUAACCCCGGGUCUGCAUUCGAUACGGGCUAGCUAGAGUGUGGUAGGGGAGAUCGGAAUUCCUGGUGUAGCGGUGGAAUGCGCAGAUAUCAGGAGGAACACCGGUGGCGAAGGCGGGUCUCUGGGCCGAUACUGACACUGAGAAGCGAAAGCGUGGGGAGCGAACAGG